rnacentral:pre_miRNA from 1 species
CCUUUGCGUGUUCUAGUGUCAGCAGAGUACAUCUUGCUGUAAAUGAGAAGUUAAUGUAUUUCGGCAAAUUGUACUCUCGCUAACAACUGG